rnacentral:lncRNA from 1 species
GCAAUAUAAUGUUACUUGCUGUUGGAUAUCAACUCUUCUACAACAUAAAUUCAAACUAAACGUACAAAAAUUAAUUUGGUGAUGAUUAUGUUAACAGCACAAAGAGCAUGAGGGACGAAGGUGGCUACGAAGUGAUAAAGAAAGCAAUCUUGAAUCUGUCACUUCGCCAUAAAGAACAUAUCAGCGCCUAUGGUGAAGGAAAUGAGAGAAGGUUGACUGGAAAGCAUGAAACUGCCAGCAUUGACACAUUUUCUUGGGUAUGCUCAGAGGACAUAAAUAUCCAAUUUCAAAGCAAUCAAAUCCUGUCAUAUGUUGCUAAAUAUGUUUUUCCAAUAUUAAUUUCAGGGAGUGGCUAAUCGUGGUUGCUCAAUUCGAGUAGGGCGUGAUACCGAGAAGAAUGGCAAAGGUAUUGUGUAAACAGGAUCGAAAAGGAAAAUGUUUUAAACCUCCAUAUCAUACUUGAGCUGCAAUUUACUUCUAUUUUUCGUUUCGGUGUAGGUUACUUGGAAGAUCGACGUCCGGCUUCAAACAUGGACCCUUACGUGGUGACCUCAUUGCUGGCAGAGACUACAAUUUUGUGGGAACCAACCCUCGAGGCUGAAGCUCUCGCCGCUCAGAAGUUGUCCUUGAAAGUUUAAUGUGAUUUUGAUUGAAGACAACCUCAAGGGCACAGGAAGUAAUCACUUGAAUUUAAUUGGCCUGUGCACAGGGAAAGCUUUUCUCUUGUUAGUCCUCAGGAAAGAUCUUUUGUAAAUAAGGGUCCUGAUGCCAUCAGAUUUUUCGUGCCCAGUCCUGUAAAAUGGUUUCUUAGAUUGAGAAAACAUUUUAUAGACAAGGGUUCCUCACUGUUAAUUAGUUUUGAACUUACGGGCGAUUACUUAAUGUUUGAUCUAUUGGCAUCCUGGACUUCUUUUCUCCAGCCUUUUGACAAUUUCUGGAAUUUUUAACUUGGUGGUAUCAUAUUGAUGUUCUACUUUUACUUUAAAUUUGAUUGAUCUUUUUGUCAGUCUGUGCAGAGUCCGAUUUGGUUUAGUUUGUAUGGAGUACUCAAACUAAACCGAUAAUGCGGUUUGAGAAAAAUUGAAAUCAAAUUAGACUAUAGAAAGCAGUGAAAUCGUCCAAAAAAAUUAUAGCAUGGAAAACUCAAUACAUGAUAUGAUUACUCACCAAACUAUACAUGUGUGAUUUAGGUUUGAUUUGGACGGCUGAAUAUUUUAUAUAUUUAUAAUUCUAAGUUUCAUUUUAAACUUCACUGUGGAGAAAUUUAUCCAUCCUUAUUUUUAAAUUUAAAAUAAAAAAUUAGAAAUGAUAACUCAAUACCAAACAAUUUAUAUGAAAAUGUAUUAUUUUAAUACGAAUAUUAUAUGAAUGCUUUGGUUAGUUUUGAACUGGCACUUAAUUUUUUUUUUAAAAAAAAAAAAACUAUAAAAGUAAAUGGAACUUGCGGUUUUAAAUUUUUGAAAACCAAACCAAAGCAAACCAAACAGCAGAACUUAUAAAAUUCGCAGUUUAGUUUGAUUUGGACUGAUUGCAGACACCCAGAAAUUCUUGCCUUUUGGGGUCUUUCUUGUGAUCGGCUGGAAAACAAAAAAGGAGGAGAACUUACGACGCUGACAAUUCCCUUGUAAUUUUCAUCACUUUUUUUCCUGGUCAGUGAAUGAUAGAUGAUUAAAAAGCUAUUUAUUGGGUCUUUCCUACACCCAAAAUUUUCUCAUUUUCAUCAUGUCUAUCCAGCAACCCAGAAGAGCUUGUGCGUCACAAAAGGGGAAAAGAAAGAAACAAAAGGUUCCAUGGUAUAAAAUCUUUUCAUGGCAGGAUGACAGGGUAUUACUUUAUUCCUUCAUUGUCCUCAGGGAAGGAAAAGCUUUCAUUGUUCCAGCAAAAGUGAUCCCUAUUCAAAAAGUAAUUUGAUCCUUUCCCCUUGAAUGAUGCAAACCCAGCAAGCGUAACGAAUUGAAAACAUUUCUUGAAAAUCAAGACACUCCAUUUCCUUUAAUGAAAAUAUAUAAAAAUUACACAUAAAAGGAUGACAGGAUCACCCAGUAUGAUAUCUAAGAUCAGGAAAGAACAAUCUCCCAAUUCAUUACGAUUGCAUAUAUAUAUAUAGUUCUCAUCUAGCCAACCUCAAUAAGGGUGAUAUAUAACAAGUUCUUUUGGUCUUCUUGCUUCAAGGCCAUGGCUCAGGAGNNNNNNNNNNNNNNNNNNNNNNNNNNNNNNNNNNNNNNNNNNGCCAUGGCUUCAGGAGCAUCCAAAUCAGCAGCCUUCUUGCUGUUUAUCAUCAACAUUGCCUUGUAUUUCAUUAUAGUAGUAAUUGCUUCAUGGGCAAUAAAUCACGGAAUCAUAAGAACGCGCGAAACAGGUAAUUCAGAAAGCUAAACAACAUAUUCUGUUGAUUACUAGACUUACAUUCAUAAGCAAACAAGCAAAUGCGUACUAACUUGUGGCUUUACCUUUGCGCGUGCAUAUGCAGCAUCUGUUUUAUCGAUUCCUGCUCGCAUAUUUCCCAUAUAUUUUCCAAUGGGAAACAUGGCAACAGGUCCUUUCAUCAUUUUCUCCCUCCUUGCCGGCAUUGUAGGCAUCGCUGCCUCGCUGACUGGACUCCAUAACAUGCUUCAAUUGAACGUUCCAAACUUGCAUACAGCCGCUGCCAGUUCUGUGACAGCCUUGUCACUCACUCUACUAGCCAUGGGGUUGACAUAGAUGCCCGUUUCUCAAUUUUUCCUUUACACUUCAUUCAUUGUUUUUUACUUUUAAUUCGAUCUACAAUGUUUUAAAAUCUUUUCAUUUUUGCUCCUUAGAUUGGCAUGUAAAGAGAUCGACAUAGGCUGGACAGAUUCAAACUUGGUAAGUUCACUAUUAUAUUUUGCAGUCAGAAAUAAAACACCUCUGUUUUACAUAAUUUUUGGUGCUGAUUUCUGUAAGAGAUAAAUUAUCCACUCCAAAACUAGAUCUAAUAGUCGCACUGUGAUGGUGAUUAACAGCGCACUCUAGAAGUGGUGACGAUAAUAGUGAGCGCUACCCAAUUGUUCUGCACGGGUGCUAUUUAUGUUGGGGUUCAAGACGUUGCUGCACGAUCAAGCUAAGCUACAAGGAAGAGUUUGAUCUUUCAAACUUAUGCGAGAGUACUUGUUCUUCACCCAUGCCCAUGGCCAUGUAACUGCGUUGUGAUGAAUUUAUUUCAUGUAUCUUUUCUCCCUAUUCUUGUGUCUUGAAAAUGUCAGAGUCUUUACAAAUAUAUUUCUCUUGUUCUUAAUCGUGUUUGUUCUUUGUUUUGUGGUGCUCAUUUGUUAUUUCAAGGAAUAAAUGGGACAUUUAUAAUGCCUAUUUAUCUUCAAAUUAUCUUGCAUAUGAUAAAUAAAAUAAAACAGAUCAAAAUGGUAAUGAGCAUCAGGAUUCGGAUCUCACUGAAAGUAGCAACCAACCCAAAAUCCUUAUGAUCCAAUUCCUGAAACUGAAGUUCUUGAAUUCUAAUUGAGAGUGGAACAUCCAUCUAUCAAACCUUGUAAACCUGCAGAACACAAAGAGGAUGUCAAACGGGAAUACACUGAUUAACAGACUUAGCUAACCCUUGGAUUAGCCUUGCAAUUUCUUCCUUGUGCUCUCCAACUGUAACAAAAGAAUGAAGAUAAUCGAACUCGCACAUUUCAUUCCUUUUCUUCGAGUUCCUUUCUGAAGAUGAACAACAUUGCAAUAGAUAGCAUCGGGUGAAAUCAUUUUGUCAACAUGUAUCCAAGUAAAUAUGGUUUUACACAGGUCUCUGAAUAAUUGAGCUCGCUGCUACGCCUUACAAGUGUAUCGGAUGAUCGCAUUACAGUUAUAUUACAUCUUCAUCUUCAGAGAUCCAGUAAACCACCAGUGGGCAAUAAUAUGGUGUAGGCGAUGAAAGUAUGUGUCAACCGAAGUUUCUCAAUCUCCUCAAGUAUUGUCAGCUUAUGAAACUUCUCUUUUGCUAAAUUAAAAGCAACAAUUACAUGAAUCUCAUCCGAUAAUUUCACGAGCUGAAGCAGAGCUCUAUUGGAAAGGGGCGCAGUCGCAGUGGUUGAAUUACUUUUAACUUGUAAAGAAUACAGAAUCCUUUUCCAUGAAUUUAAUCUCAUAGAGAAGCCAUUGAAAAUUGUUGCUUGUUUAAUAUUGACAAGUUUUAUAACCUGCUUGAAUAGAGACGCUAUUGCUUAUAAAUCAAGAUAUACAAAGUUACUAGUCUCAUUAUUGCUAAAAGACAUCAACUUCGUUAGGCAAGCAAUCAAAAUCUUCAAGCUUCAAAUGAGAAUUUGAAUUCCCAGGAGUAGAAUCUGAAUCCUUAUAGUAGGCGAGUCUUUCUUUUUUUUUUUUUCUUUUUUGAGAAAGAAAGAGCAAUGUAUUAUUCAUGAGAAACAACGUCCAGGUUGGACAGUACGAAAAGAGGAAAGGACUCUGUUCAGAUCAUCUCAAAUUCACUGAGUUUGUUUGGCAAUGGUGGGAGCCACCAUAUUAGCUGUUAGUAAGUAACUUUCUUUAUC